UGGGCAGCUGUGGUGAGUGGAUAAUAACAAAAGUGAUCUACUCCUGAUGAUUACCACCAAGCGUCAGACUGACCUUUUCUGUGAUGAGGUGGGACCGGCUAAUAUGAUGUCCAUCCAAAGCUAGAACAUUAUGGAUCGAUCGAUGUGGAUCCACAGUAAAAACAUAAAUUAAACUGCCUUCUGCGAGAACAUUCCUCCAUGGAGAUCCUUGUGCUCCCCAACUGCAUCGGCUCAGGAUCUGGUGCUUCAGCUGAGGGUAGGGAGUAACUUGUAGCUUUGGAGCAGGGGCCUGAGCGGCAAAAUGGAGCAGAUGAGGCCUCCCUGUGACGUUUCUCCCUACACCUCUCAUUGAGACGAAGAUCUAUCCUAGUUGCCAAAUCCUCAAGGUCCUUGAAGGACUUAGGAUACUCUCGAGUGGCCAACUCAUCCUUGAUAUUUUCAUUAAGACCUUGCAUGAACACAUCCAUUAAUGCCUCCUGAUUCCAGCUACUGUCUGCAGAUAACAGGUGAAAAUCAAUGAUAUAAGAAGCCACACUCUUACCUCCCUGUUUCAAGGAUAAUAGUCCCAUAGAUGCCUCUCUCUCAGGGAGGAUGGGGUCAAAACCCCUAAUCAGUUCCUUAGAAAACGCAGAGUAGGUCAAACAGGAAUCUGAUUAAUUUUGCCAUUCUGCUGUGCCCCACUGUUUGGCCUUGCCGGACAAAAGUGAGAUCACAAAUGCUACCUUCGAAUGUUCAGUAGGGAAAGAGGAGGGCUGCAACUCAAAGUGGAUCUCACACUGAGUGAGAAAAGCACGGCACUGGUCAGAGUCUCCCUUGAAUAGCUCGGGAGGGGUCAGACAAGGCUCCUUAACCACAGCGGGCUGAAGCUCAGGAACUGGUUGGGGAGGUGUCUGUGGUUGUACCUGGUCAGGAGGAGGAGACAUGUUACGAAGCAUGGUAAUGAUUUCAUUCAUGCCAGCAUUAAGCUGAUUAAUAGAAUUGUCAACGUUGCUGCGCCACUGCUGUGCUGACGAAGGGUCCAUUUUAGGCCAGAUUUUUCUGUAAUGCUCAGAACUGAGGACCCAAAAUUUCAGUCAGACACAAAGUAGAAAAAAAACAACAAGAUCUUUAUUGAGGAUCAGUGUAUGGGACAGGCAACCACCGGCAUUGGGAACCUCUGAGGAUGGAGAAGCAGGUUAGUGGCUUGUAAUCUUGGGGGUCAAGGCUGAAUGAGACAAGCCACUAACCUUCUUAAAGUGUUGUGGAGGAUGAGGAGUCCAGGUAACACAGAGGUAAGUAGCAGGUGACACAUCCAGGGGGAAUCAGAACUGGGGGGCCAAUGGGUUGAGACAGGGAAGCAGAACAAGGCAAAACUUAUCUGAGGGACAGGCGAAGAACAGUGGUCCUGGGCGCAGAAAAGGGUCCAACACGUGCAGGCAAUAUCAGGCAGACAAAUCCAGAGGCGAGGCAGGAGGUAGAGGUCGAAAGGCAGAAGCAGAGUCGAGUCCAGAAAACAGAAGCCAGUGAAGAAUCCGACGUGGGCUAGACAGGGCAGGAAAAUCCAAGAGACAAAAAAUGUGUUCGAGAUCAUGGUCAGGUAAGGAGGAAAUGCUGGAUAUCUACUCACACCAAGGUUUUCAAAAAUCUGGCACCGUCUGCCUGCCUGAGAGCUGACUAUAACUGCUGGUGAACAGGUGGAAGACAUGAGCCUGAUUGUGCUCCAGCGCAGCAGCAUGGAGGUGAACCAGAUGAGCUUGAUGGGAGGUGAGUGCUGAGGAGAAAAACAAAGCAGGCAGACGGGCCAGAAACAUGACAUUCAGUUAAACACUGUACCAUUGCCACAUGGUCAAACAAAUACAACAUUGUCAAUCCCCUCCCAUUCUGAAACACUCAUUGGGAAAUGGGAAAAAGCUGAAAAAACAUCACUUGGUAAUACUGGCCCAAUUUUACUUUUGGGACUCAUAUCGAUAUGUUAGAAAAUGAAUAACAUUGACUGAUUGGCCACUCAGGUAAAAAACCUUUACUUUGUCCUGACAGUGCAAUAUGAGACAGAUAAUCUGUGAGAAAAAUCAAGCUUCUCUGCCUUCUCCCUGUGGUCCUACUGCUACCUGCAGAAAAUCCCUGUUUGGUCAGAACCAAGCAAUCAGAGGCAGGAAGAGGGUUUAACGCUGUCAAUCAGGUCGAGGACCUGAAGUGAUGGUAGUAGGAAAAUAAGGAGAAAGAAUAGGAUCUUUCUCCUUCUUGUUCUACUACAAGAUUAUCUGUGAAAAAAUAAGGAUGCAAACAGUGACAUGGACAUCCUUGUAUGUCAUUGGACAUGUAAGGAUGUCCAGAGUCCUUACAACAAUGAAAGUUUUAAGAAACAUGCAAGACACAUUUUUAAUAAAGUUACAAACCUAACAUCACUCGAGAGGAAAUAAAUAAGUAUAAUUUAGGGGUGCAACAAAAAAUCAGCCAGCCAAUAAAUCAGCCCCAAUUUCCUAAAUUUUGGGAGAUCGGUGAUCAAUAUUCAUAUCAACCAAUUUUAUUUACUUUGAGGAGGAUCUAAAAAUCUACGACCGUCCUCUUUUGUUCUGCCAUGAGAGAGAUUUGACUGACAGACCUGCCCACCAGGUCAUGUCUGCAUGCUGACAAUUGACAAUAGUCACCCUACUGUUGCCAGCUCAGCGACUUUCUUGAUGUAUUUAGCAACAUUUCAGACCCAAAUGCAAUUGGAAGGUCAGUGUUUUUUAAAACUAGUGAUUGGGAAAUGGCCAGAAAACUGCAAUCGGUGCACCCAGAAUAAUUUUCCUUAAUUUUAGAACCUAGCAAGCUAUGUAAAGCAGCAUUGUUACAAGAAUCUGGAUCUCCUUAAAUGCAUGUCAUUUUUUGCUGUUUUAUAUUUGAGUUACAAAAGAGGCUUACAGAGAGUUACAAAAAAAUUUCUUUUUCUGAUGGGGAAACAGCUCUCUGUUCAGGAUAAAAAGAUGGAAAUGGUUCGAGUAAGGAAGAAGAGACCCAAGAGACUUGAGGGAGAAACUAUUUAUAUCAGACAUAGCAAUUUAAUGUUGGAGGACCUUGAUAAGACCCAAACUGAGAUCAUGCGCCACCAUACUAGUAUCAGUGAGCUCAAGAGAAGUUUUAUGGAGUCAGUACCAGAACCUCGACCCAGUGAGUGGGACAAACGCCUAUCUACCAACUCGCCACUCCGCUCAGUGAGCGUCAAUGGCCAGCUGCAACCAGCGUCUCCAGUUCUAAGGGCCCAAACGGUCACCAUCUCAGAUGUUACCAACUCUCUUAGAGGAACUGUGACUUACAAGGACAUUCCUUUAGUUCACACUGAGACAAAGACCAUCACAUAUGAGUCAGCACAGGUAAGAGAAAUUAAGGAAACUCCACAGAUACAGCAGACAUUUUAGAAAGUAUUUAUCUUGAAUCGAUUACUUGUUAUAUGUAGUGUAAAGUUGUUUCUAAAAGUUAUACCAAAAUACUGAACAAUUGUGGACUAAAGUGUUGGUACUUACAGAUGAACAGAUUUUAAGAUUUUGUUCUGAAAAUGUUUCAGAACAUACUGCACUCACUGUGUAAAGGAAAUUGUGACUGUUGGAUAUGACACCCAUGUAC